rnacentral:rRNA from 1 species
UACGAAGGGGGCUAGCGUUGCUCGGAAUUACUGGGCGUAAAGGGCGCGUAGGCGGUUUGUACAGUCAGGUGUGAAAUUCCCGGGCUCAACCUGGGGGCUGCACUUGAUACGUAGGAACUGGAGUGGGGAAGAGGGUCGUGGAAUUCCCAGUGUAGAGGUGAAAUUCGUAGAUAUUGGGAAGAACACCGGUGGCGAAGGCGGCGACCUGGUCCUUGACUGACGCUGAGGCGCGAAAGCGUGGGGAGCAAACAGG